CUGUUGUUAAUUAGCCUAAAACUGCUAAAUAUGUAAAAUGUGAAAGUAGAUUAACAGAAAAGGUACUUGAAACAUGAAUUUUUGUCCUUAAUUCUAACAAAUAGAAGACAUAAUUCAGUCUGCAUUUGAGAAUGUUAGAAGUUGAGUGAUCCUUGGCCACACUCAAUCUAUUUUUCUAUUUCUCAAAGAUUAUAUUCAGCUCAUGAAAAAGAAUAAAUCAGACAUGCUGGACCCAUGCUGUGAAUUAUCUGAGUAAAUGUGGUAAAACAAGGAAUACCUUUUCAUCCUCCCUACCAUCACCAAGUGGCUACUGAGAGGCUGGAAGUAAUUGGUGUGGAUGCCCAGAAGAACUGAAUUAACUGCAUGAGCAAACUUCUUAUAUUGUUUAGGCCCUACCUGAAGAUGCCCAGGGACUGCCAGUUGCCAGUCAGCUCAUUGGUAUACAGAAGACAUCACUUCAGAGAUUCCAAGCGUUUUAGAAGCUAUAUUAUCAGGAAAUGGGGAUGAAAACUAAAUAUGUAUUUUAACCAUAUCACACAUAUACACACAUUGGUUCCAGGAUCCCCAACAAUACGUAAAUCUGAGGAUGCUCAAGUCCAGUGGUCAGCCCUGUGGAACCCAUGGAUACAAAAAGUCCACCUUCCUUAUCCAUAGAUUCUGCAUCCCACCAUCACUGUGUUUUCCACCUGCAGUUGGUUAAAUCUCCAGAUGCAGAUGCAGAACUGUGGAUAAGAAGGGCUGACUGUAUAUAAUUAACUGCCAAGUGCUUGGAGGGGAGGAAUACAGCGGCUACUAGUCCAGUUUGGUCUCAUUGUCUUGACUUGUUGCCACUGCUUUAGUUCUCUUUCUACUUUGCAAAUAAUUCACCUGUUUCUUGUCUCCUCGCAGAGCCAGAUUCUCUGCUAUGUCAGAGCUAGUCAAGUGGAUCAAUAGUUUUAAUCAGAGAUCACACGUACUGAGUAGGAUGAACUGUUGUGAAGGAAACACUUUAAGGAUGGCAAAUACCUGGCGUACGUGGUAAAUCGCUCUACCUGCGCCCAUGGCCGGCCUUGGGAGUCGGUCGCUGUACUUUCUCCUGUUGAGCUCGCAAUUAUUAUCAUCAUCAUUAUUAUAUCAGCACUCAAUAGUACUACAAUCCUCUGGAAAUUAUAUAAACUUUUUUCUCAUCUCAUCCUUCAUGCAAAUUAAUGGCUCUAAUAAUAUGCCAGUGGGAUAAAUGUUUUUAUAAAGGUGACUACUUGUGGUCUUCUCAAAUAAAAAAGUUUCCUUUCCCUUUUUUUCCCUUUAUCUAUGGUACCAAUUCCUUCUUCUCGGGAUCAGAACAGUGCUGAUCUCAGUGCUGAAAAUACCUGGAAAAACAUUUAACAAAUACCAAGACUGGGCUCCAACCCAGGAGAGUUAUGUUUGAAUCUCUGGGAUGUCUUGGGAAUCUAUACUUUAAAACUUUUAACCUUUCCAGGUGAGUCUAACUUAAUAAGAUUGAGCUACUGGUUUUUGAUAGCAUGUGGAGGCUGUCACAAGGGCCUUGUAGUUGGUUUCUUCUAAGGGUAUUUGAAAGGCUUUUGCUUUGUCAUCUAGGUAUUUUUAUUUUUAUCUGUCACAGAGAGAUCAUUACAUUUUUGUUUAAUCACCCUAACAAGGGGAAUAUUAUUAUUUAAUAAUGCCACAUAACUUUCAAAGAUAGAGCCCUAACACUAAUGGAUAAUAACUACUAGUCCCAAAGAUAAAACUGUUCUCAUCUCCUAUUUAUUAAAAGAAUAGUCAACUGGAUGUUUUAGAAGAAAAAUAAUAUUGCUUAGCAUAAAAUAGGUUGGCUGUUGUUCAUUUCAAAAAACUGUUAGAUGGAUAUUGCUCUUGGGUCCUAUGGUGGAGAUUUGCCCUUCUGCUUAUGCAUACCACAUCUAUGAAUCCCUGUCCUAUGUUUAGAAAACCCUCCUACAAUGAAGGAUCAAAGCUCAGGUACAGGUUCUCACCAAUUUCUGGCAGCUUUGCCUUAAACAUGCCGUUAAGCUUAGUCUACUGAAUGCUCCCGAAAGAGGCAGGGUGCAUUUGAGAUUCAUGUCAAAUUUGGACACAGUCUCCAAGGUGGAGACAAUCCAGUGUGCAGGGUGCUGGUGGCAGCCGAUCCAGCAGCAUGUUGAUGAAUGUCCAGAGCGGCAGAACUAGGGCUUCCCAUUCCUGCAGUCAAGUUUGUGCUCAGACGCAAAUCCUUGGUUCUUGCCCAUUUUCCCAACCAGGCACUGUGGACUCUUCAGUCACUCCAUGAGCUAACAAAUACCCUUUCCAUCAUUUUCUUUACUGCUUUAAUAAAUAAAAUGUUUCUCAUUUCUUACGCUUUUAAUGAAGACAAAAAUAUAUUAACUUAAGGAAGAUCAUAUAGUUCUGUAUUAUCCACCAUCUAUCUUUGAAGGCAUCAUGGGUUUAGGAUGCUGUUUUGCCUUUUCUUAAAGAUCUGGCCAUAUGGGUCUCAAUCCUCAAUGUGACACUAAUUGGCUGGAUCAGAGGAACCAGUGUGUCAUUAGAAAGAGAACCAGAUGCCCUUCCCAUGCGGGAUGCUUGACCCAUUUCCAUUACUAGCUUGAUUCCCAUAAGACAUGAUUUCAAAGAUAUGAUUUCAUAUCUUUGCUCAUUUGACUAAACAAAUUGUAUAUCUUAUACGAAAAUAUAAAAUGCACUGAACUAAUUCAAACUGUAAGUUGAGUAAAUAAGUCUGUGUAAUAACAACAAUUUUGUAAAAAGCAUACAUAAGUUUCCCGUACAUUUACUUGCUAAGGGUGCUAGUAUUCUCAGAGAGUUAAAAAUAGGAAAACAUUAGGGAAACAUGAUUAGUUACACAAGUCCCAGGAUUCUAGAAAAUGAAACUUGAACAUAUUUCUCAGAGGAGUCAUAACUAUUCCUGAUGCUAAGAACAGAUAAAAAUCUCUCACAUGGAUUCUAAAAAAGAAAGAAAAAGGACAGUGUGGAAUAUAUGAAAAAAAUGUCCUGAAUAAUACCUUCACAAUGAAGAUGAGGACUAUUUCUAGAAGACUGUUUCAUUUAAUCUCAUAAAAUAAACCAGUUUCAUUAAAGUGCCUUGAAGAGAGGAUAGGCAAUAUAGCACAGUAACUAAAGUUGCCACCAAUAUGUCUUAAUCAAAGAAAUAAUUUUAGAAUGCCUGUGAUCAUGGAAAUCUAUUGUUGGUGCUACUUAGUAUCCAUUCGCCUUGCUUCUGUUCACGAUGUGCCAUAUUCCUGUAGGGGCACCCUGCCCUGGUUCUUGGUCUAUGUACUUUGAGUGGCACCUUUAGUUGCAGGAGAGGUUCUGUAAGUUGGGCCUGGCCAAUGGCAACAUCACGUUCCUCUGAAAUUAUGAGCAUUAUUUUCCAAAAGUCUAUUAACCAAUUGAAAGGUAUGUAUAAAAAUAACAACUUUGUUAUUUUUGGCCAUGAUUACAGAGCAGGCUGGUUGUCUGAGUUUUAAAGAAUCCCUGUCUGUCUCUUCCCUUGAAUGACCUGAAUGCACAGAAUUUUCAUUCUUCAUUCCCAAUGAACAAUGACAUUUUUCGACAUUAGAUUGCGUUCCCAUUGGAAAUAUGGGUAUUAGUUCAAAAAAAAUGGUUACAAUAUUUUGGGUAACAUUUGAAUAAGGAUUUUUAUUUAAAUUCACUCCUAGUAAUUCUCUUUACAUGAGGUCUGAGAGUAUAGUAUCCAUGCAGGAUGACUCUGUCAUACUCAUUUAAUAUUUUUUCUGCGUCUUCACAAUGUAAUUGACUUACAAUUAAAAUUAAGUUUAUGGGUCCUUUUCAUGCCUCUCUAGUUGAAGGGGAAUGUAAUUAGAUUUAAUUGAAGUUGCUUCUCCAAAUGACACCCCUAGAUACAGCAGACAGCAUACACAUGGCUUAAUCUCCUCUUGCAGAGCACAUAUGCAUUAAGUCAUUUAAUAGAAGAAGCUACACAUCGAAAGCUUUCAAAACAAAGUUGAUAAAAAUAGGAUAUGACAGAUUCCUCCCUUUAUUUGUUAAGGUUACUGCAAUUAUGUCUGAUUUUCCAGGACAUGGCCUGAUAAAAGAUGUUUUAUGAAAGUAGGGAGGUGGGGCAGAAAGCAAGGGAAAAAAUAAUCUCAUAACUUUUAUCUUUCUCAACACUUUCCCAUUAGAUAAUGAGACUGGGCUCAGGGAGAAGUUUUAUACCUUGAAUAUACAAGAUUUGCCUAAAGACUGAUCUGUAGGUGGCCUUGGUCCUACCAAUUAUGUUGUUUUUUAGAGAAAUAAUGAAAGAUCAACUUUAGAAUGAUGCUUUUAAAAUUACCUGCUCUUUGUAAAAUGUCUUUCCCAAAUUAGCUUGGAAAAAGUAUUUUGUAACAGCUUUAAGAGCAUAUUAACAAAAAGAAAUUAGACAGCUAAACAAGAACAACAAUAAGCUUUUUAGACAAUAAUCUGGUAUUUAAUUGUGAUCAACCUUAACCACAAGCAACAUUAAAAACUUGAAGAGGAAAAAACUUUGAGGUAUUAUCAGUGUGCUGAGGUUUUCAUUAGCCCAGUGGAGAUUGGAAUAUUGGCAAUUACAUGGUUAAACUCAUCAAUUGUAGAUAGUUCAACGAGAUAGUUCAAGAUGAGACAAUGAUUUCUUUCUAUUACUUGCCACUGAGGAACCUCCAAUAUAUAGUUAUCUAUGUUGAUGAAAUUAAGUGGAAAACUGGGCAACUUUAAAAUUUUUUGUUAUAUAGACAAAUAAUUAAGCAUACCUGCAUGUCAUCUGAUGGGAUUCUGUUCCAACUAUUUGUAUUUCUGGUCCUUCAUAUUUGAAAAUGGUUAUGACUGAGCUACCACUAAGAGUCAUCCACUUCCAACUGAUUUGUUUGUUUACAUGAUGAGAAGGGAUAAGGUUGGCACAGUCAUAAUCUCUUGAAACAUUUCCAUAUUUGACCAAUGACCUAGGGUUUUAAAUACUGACGGAUUAUAUUAUAUACUAUAUGGCUUUCGAUCAGAUCAAAGACACAGCCAGUUUGGGUCUUGUAAAAUAUAUAAGUAACUGUAAAGCAAUGUGUGAAAUGAAGUUGUCAAAUUAAGUAUUUUUCUGAAGACUUUACAAUUUUGUUUUAAAAAUGUAUUUAAAGGGUACAGUCCCAACUAAGAUCCCAAGCAUAGAGGAAUACAUGCCAAAUAUAAUGAAGCCUAUAACAGAGAAUUAACUAUGAGAAACUUUAAUUCUAUAUUGUGCAUUUUCAUUUUAUACAUUUUUUCACAUAAGAAUGAUUUUAUAAUGGAAAAAUAUUUUUGACCUGUUAUGUCUUCUCCCUAAAUGGAUGUGGUAGAGGGGUAGAGAUUUUAUAAGAAAAUAUUUAUUUUGUAAGCUUGGAUUCAAAUGCAAAUUGUGCAAGUUAUUUUACCACAGCUAGCAACAAAGGCAAUGAAGAGAGCAUUAGUUGAGCACCUACUUUGUACUAAGUGUUCUGCACUUUUUACAAUCCUGAAAAUAACCUGUCAAGAUGUGUUUUAUUGCCCUCAUGUUACAAAACUUUGAGUCUUGAAUAGAUUAUAUAAUUGGACAUAAUUACCUAGCUAAUACCUGGGUGAGCCCUAUUUGUGCCUGUGUUUGCAAAAUUUUGACAUACAUGCUUUUCUAUCCAGGCUACUAUUUUCUGUUCAGGAGGAAGUGACUCUUUUCUAUUCAGAUUGAAAGCUGUAGCUACAGGAACAAAUUAUUGUGAUUCAUUCAUUUAUGAAAUGUUAUUUAUAUAUCACAUGUUAAAUUUUAGCAGUUACAUCUACUUUAUAAUAAAUGACAUAGAUAUUACUAAAUAUAUGAUUGAAUGCUGAAUUCUAUCAUAUAUGUGUUUUUGGCCUUAUUGAUAUGAGCAUUUUAUUACUUUUCUGCUGAUUAAUAUGCU